CAAGGGAAGAAUUAAAACAUCUGGAGGGCCGGAUGCAGCCCUUGGGCCGUAGUUUGCCCACUUCCAGUCUAAACAGACAGGCGGUGAGAGGGGAAACAAGUACUGAGCACAGACCUGCCUUACGUCAUUCUAUGUCCCAGUCCACUGCUCUCCCCACUAGGCCACGCUGCCUUCAUCUUCAUUCAUUUUCUUUCUGUGGUCCCCUUUAAACACUCUACGAUGUUGUCUUUGUGGCUGGCCGGCAUUUCUACCUUAGGCCCAGAUCAUGUGCCUGUGCUGAGCCCCGCUGAGGCCAACGGGACCCUGUCCAGGCCCGGGUGCAGCAGCUUGCAGGAUCGGGGUGGCACAGAGCAGAGGGAACGCUGUGGAAAGAAUAUGCAGCACAUCUCAUCUCCAAAGCACUGGACCAAGUCCUGGAGCCCUGGGCCAUGGUUGCUGCGGGACACCUUGCCGGGCUAGGAGCACUGGCAACGCUGGUUCUUCACCAGUAUGGGUCAUUCCACCCCACCCCCAAGUGAAGCAAGCUACGCUGGCAGAUGGGCGAUGCCACCUGCAGAGCUGUGCCCAUGCUAGGGAGGGCCUGACUCUUCAUCUUUGAACGCCAGAGGUUGGCACUAUUGGAAGAGCUGUUUCCCGUGUGUCCAUUUCAUCCCUCUAAUGUCACAUCCUGACGGCAGGUUUCAUUUUCUGGGGCCGGAACAAUCAGCUGGCGUACUAAAAGAACAGGAAGCCCUGGCACGUAACAGAGCGAACACGCACAGCGCACGAGGAGGCUAAUGGGAGCGGCUGACUUGAAGAGAAAAGCUGGAAGAGGUGCCAAAAAAGUCAUUAAGUCCCUCUUCCACUGGGAUUUUAGAGGAGGACAGCCUGAAUAUUCACGAGCAUGCUCUUCCUUUGAGGGAGACGUUCCAUCAAUUAUCACAAGGUUGGCAUCCGGGUGGUGUCAAGGUUACUCCCAGCAUAAUGAGGGAGGUGGGUCCUGGCUGGCGAAGGGACAGCUUUGCUUGGAAACUCCAUCGUAAAGGCUGCAGCAGGGUUUCUGUAUAUGGCCAGUUAUUUUUCCCUUACAUGCUGCAAAAGCCUCAUGGCUAGGCCGAUUGCCUUGAAACCUGGUGUGCUAUAUGGAGGGCAGGGCUAGUGUGAAAGGUGAAAAUUUGGGGUCAGUUGGCCAAGGGGUUCCCAAGAUACAGCUCCUCCCUCCCCAAGGGACCCAUUUGAAAAAAAUAACAUGGACCUGAUUCUGAUCUUACACCAGUGCAAGGGCGUAAUCUGACAAGCACUUGACCAGGUGCUUAACUUGAAGGUUGUGGGUCGUUCAUAGAAUCAUAGAAUAUUGGGGUUGGAAGGGACCUCAGGAGGUCAUCUAAUCCAACCCCCUGCUCAAAGUAGGACUAAUCCCCAAUUUUUGCUCCAGAUCCCUAAAUGGCCCCCUCAAGGAUUGAACUCACAAGCCUGGGUUUAGCAGGCCAAUGCUCAAACCACCGAGCUAUCCCUCCCCCUCGUUCCACUAACUUCAAUGGGGCUACGUCUGUGCUUAAAGUUCAAGCGUGGCUUAAGUUCUUUGCUGGAUCAGAGCCAGAGAGCUGGGCAGAAUUGCACCCUCCAGCAGGCGUAAUGCUAAUGAAAUCACUGGUGUUACCCCACUGUGGAAUCAGCGGGAGAUCAGAAUCAGCCCCAUGAUUUAUAUAUCACAGUUGUAUGGUAACAGGGACCAUAAAAGUACCUAAGGGCUUGUCUACACAUGGACUUACUCCAGAAUAGCUAGUCUGGAAUAACUAUUGUGCUUUAAAUUCACACCCUACCUUAAUCCAAAUUCAAGUGUAGACGUGUGAGAGAGAGAGAGAGAAUGAAGGGUGGUGAAUUUACAGAGAACUCCGUGGACAUCUGUAACUCCCUCAUUCCCAGACUUCAAGGAAAAGCUCUUCGCCCCAAGCACCAGGUCGCUUUGUUUCUGCUUGGCCAGCAGGGGGCUGGCACUGAGGCAAGACAGGCUUGUCCUCCCUGCCAUGAGACCACUCAGAGGCGCUCUGACGGUGGGCGUUGCCUUGCCACCAGAGGCUUUGCUCCUUUUUCAGAAAAACAUUUGAAAGCGAAUUUAGGCCUCUCUUGCCAUCCCCGGCCAGAGGCUAGCAGCUGAGAAGCAUCACUCUAGAUGAGAUAGAAGAAGAGCACUAGGCAACAGCGCAAAGGGUGUAUGUACAGCUCCUAGCACAAUGGGGACCUAGUCCAUGGCCUGGGCUCCUCACUACAACAAUACAGAUAAAUAACAGCUCUGUGCCACAAGGGGUAAGCUACUGUCCGUUGAGCAAAUGCUUAAAGUCUCGACAAAUUAACCAUCAUUCCCUGAAACAAGUGAUAGUCUCGGUCGCUGCUGGGAAAUAACUAAUAGUGUUUCACAGCAGGGGGAGCAGAGAGACAUGAGGUGUCCUCAGGGUGCUGGUUUAGGGAGACAAGCCUGUGCCAGGAAAUAGCUCUGCGAUAAAGAAGAAAUGUCAGCUUGUCCUUCCUGGAAACCAGGAUGAUGUUGGAGCUAACACACUUGUGGCUUGAAAUAAGAAGACUCCCUGGCUCUGAGCAUCUGCAGAUCCCCCACUGCCUUCCAAAGGAGGGCAGUGUCGUUAUCCUUAUUUUACAGAUGGGGAAACUGAGGCAUGGGGAGGGGAAGUGACUUGCCCAAGGUCACCCUGAAGCCAGUGGAAUAGAACCCAGGUCUCCUGUGGGCCAGUGCUCUACUCCCAAUGCUAUCUCCUAGAAGCAAAAGGAGGCUUGUAAAAGCCCUGAGAUUUAUCCCCAGGACAUUUAACAGGAGGCUGGCUCUGCUGAAAGGAAGAAAACCAAUCACAACCUGCGCUGGCUCCCUGCACCGGGGUAAAUCUCACCCACCCUGGGCCACUGCAGCUAAGGAGUUAAACGCCUUCUGCCGAGCUGCAGCAGAGGUCAGCAGAGAUUCACGCGGCUAGUUGAUUUGUUACCCUUCCCUAUUCCCGAGCUUUGCCUUCACCCUUCAGCCCCGCGGCUGGGGCAUAUUUCAUACUGGAGGAAGGAAGUGCCGGGCUGGGACAGAGAUGAUCAUAGAACAGGAAGGGACCUCGAGAGGUCAUCUAGUCCAGUCCCCUGCACUCAAGGCAGGACUAAGCAUUACCUAGACCA